GCAGGAUCAACCAGGUAGCAUUCCUCGCUGACAUUACCCGACGGGGCAUGCAAAUGCCACGACGAGAGUCGUUCAGUUGGGACGAAUAUCGCUAGCUACGGGCCAAGACGAGACAUUGCCGUCGUACCCCAAUGAAUAUUCCGAAUCCGAGAGCUCAAGCGAGCGUCCAUGGGCCAAAAUAACUACAAUCGCAAUUCGAGUUACGUGGGACACAAACGAUGCUUCGAGGUUCACCGCAUCGAAAACCCGUAGCAAAACGGGAUGACGGCCGGUGAAGGAUACACGAUUUGGCAGCAUAAUUCCAUAUAGUGGGAAUGCAACACAGAAAACCAAAUAAAACGGAUGACCAAGGCAAGAAGUGCUCUUGUGCCAGUAAAUGAAGAGGAGCGCACAACCGACCGUCAUUGCCACAACAAUGAUCCAACC
rnacentral:misc_RNA from 1 species